AGGCAUUGUUUUAACAGUAUUCGAUUUGUCAGGGACUUAGUCAUAUAAAGGGUUCCAGUUUCUUCCAUAGCAUGGACGUCAUUUUCUCCAUCAACACUUCUUGUAGGACAUUAUUUGUAAGGCACAAUUGAAUUGCAGAUAGAGCCUUUUCAUCAAGCUUCUCCCAUUUCGUUUGAUUCCUGUAAGAGCCUUAUUUUGCCCGGCCCAUUAGAAACUAAAAAAUAACCAAAUAAAGUCUCAAGAUCAUUAAAUGUCCAGUUACAAAAUUAAAUUGGCUCAUAUUUACAAAACCCAAUUACAAACCCAUCAACUUAAACCACUAACCUAUUACAGAUUAGGCCCGUUAGCCGAAGACCUAAACUCAUGUUUAGGAAAAUGAAAACCCUAGGUCACCCUCACGCCGUACCCCCCUCCAUGUGUGCCCUCGGUAUGCACGAUGCCCAAGGGCCGACUUUGCCUUCGGCCUUACACCAAAAUGGCAUCCUUUCACCGUCGUUGACCCCCUAGGCCUACAAAAGAAAGCAAAAACAGAAGCCAAACAAGACCACAGAGCAGAAAGUAGAAACAAAGCAAAGAAACAACAAUGACAUAGGAAAUAGUAAUAACGUUAAAUCAAGUGUAUUUUCGCCUAUAUAAACCGAGAAACAAAAAUGUUGUGAGGUUAUAGACGAUUAAGCAAUAAAAGAGAAAAACAAAAAGGUUGAUUACACAUCUUGUUCUCUUUUUGAUUUUCAAAUUUUCUUUUUACUUUUAUUUUUUUUAUUUUUUUAUUUUUAUUUUCAUUUCUUAUCAUACAUCUAUUUUAAAUCAAAAUAAAAGGGAGUGAAAACUCACCGAAAUCGCCCCGUGACCGCUUCGUCGGAGGGCUUCUCGUUCCGUUCUCUUCGCGCUUUCGAGGAUUGGGAGCGUUUUGGCUUUCGAACACGCCUUGAAACGGGACUCAAUGCCCACCCUCACGCACCGUUGGCCGCCGAAUAUGGCGAUGGUACGAUGGACGGCGAUUUGGGUGUCCCCCUGGCCGGUCGUAGAGAGAAGGGGGAGCGAGUAAAGGGAAUAUCAGUUUUUUUAGAAAGGAGGCUGCAGAUGAAUUUUUUUUUUAAA
rnacentral:lncRNA from 1 species